rnacentral:rRNA from 1 species
CAGCCGCCGCGGUAAUACGGAGGGUGCAAGCGUUAUCCGGAUUUAUUGGGUUUAAAGGGUCCGUAGGCGGAUCUGUAAGUCAGUGGUGAAAUCUCACAGCUUAACUGUGAAACUGCCAUUGAUACUGCAGGUCUUGAGUAAAUUUGAAGUGGCUGGAAUAAGUAGUGUAGCGGUGAAAUGCAUAGAUAUUACUUAGAACACCAAUUGCGAAGGCAGGUCACUAAGAUUUAACUGACGCUGAUGGACGAAAGCGUGGGGAGCGAACAGGAUUAGAGACCCCAGUAGUCCCUGUCUCUUAUAA